rnacentral:rRNA from 1 species
UACGUAGGUGGCAAGCGCUGUCCGGAUUUACUGGGCGUAAAGAGCGCGCAGGCGGUCGUUCAAGUCGCGUGUGAAAGCCCCCGGCUCAACUGGGGAGGGUCACGCGAUACUGAUCGACUCGAAGGCAGGAGAGGGUAGUGGAAUUCCCGGUGUAGUGGUGAAAUGCGUAGAUAUCGGGAGGAACACCAGUGGCGAAGGCGACUACCUGGCCUGUUCUUGACGCUGAGGCACGAAAGCGUGGGGAGCAAACAGG